UUCAAUUUCAAUUCCAAUUUCCAAUUUCAAUACAACAUUUCAUUUCUAGGCUUCUAUAAUCCAACAAUUCCUUAAUCUUUUCUAGAAUGAUCGCUGCCUUUAUAUAUGACAUCCGCUGCAAAUCCUCCUCUUCAAUAAGAGAAGCAUACCUUCACCUUGCUGUGAUCUUGUAAGAGCUUCCAUGAUACAUAGGGAGCCAUCAGAUUUCAGUGGCAUUGCAGACAACUGGGAGUAAAGGGUCUCACCUUGUGUUUCCAUCUGAGGAGCUAGAAAGAAGCUGGUUAGAACUGUAGGAGAAACAACAGUUGCAGCUUGUGUUUGAUGAUAAUGAUGAUGAUGUUACUGACGAUGGUGGUAAUGAUGAUGAUGCU